UCAGAGGUCUCAAGCGUUGUUCGGAUUCAUUGGGCGUAAAGGGUGCGUAGGUGGCGCGCUAAGUCGGGGUGUGAAAUCUCGGAGCUUAACUCCGAAAUUGCAUUCGAUACUGGCGUGCUUGAGGACUGGAGAGGAGACUGGAAUUCAUGGUGUAGCAGUGAAAUGCGUAGAGAUCAUGAGGAACACCGGUGGCGAAGGCGGGGUCUCUGGGGCCGAUACUGACGU
rnacentral:rRNA from 1 species